rnacentral:rRNA from 1 species
UGGGGAAUAUUGGACAAUGGGCGAAAGCCUGAUCCAGCCAUGCCGCGUGUGUGAAGAAGGUCUUCGGAUUGUAAAGCACUUUAAGUUGGGAGGAAGGGCAGUAAGCGAAUACCUUGCUGUUUUGACGUUACCGACAGAAUAAGCACCGGCUAACUCUGUGCCAGCAGCCGCGGUAAUACAGAGGGUGCAAGCGUUAAUCGGAAUUACUGGGCGUAAAGCGCGCGUAGGUGGUUCGUUAAGUUGAAUGUGAAAGCCCCGGGCUCAACCUGGGAACUGCAUCCAAAACUGGCGAGCUAGAGUAGGGCAGAGGGUGGUGGAAUUCCAGGUGUAGCGAUGAAAUGCGUAGAGAUCUGGAGGAAUACCGAUGGCGAAGGCAGCCAUCUGGCCUAACACUGACGCUGAGGUACGAAAGCAUGGGAGCAAACAGG